AGGGUUUGAUUCUGGCUCAGGAUGAACGCUAGCGAUAGGCUUAACACAUGCAAGUCGAGGGGCAGCGAGCGAGAUAGCAAUAUCUUGUGUCGGCGACCGGCGCACUGGUGAGUAACACGUAUGCAACCUGCCCUCUACAGGGGGAUAAUCCGGAGAAAUUCGGUCUAAUAUCCCAUAGUCCCUGAGUUUGCAUGAGCUUGGGGGGAAAGUUCCGGCGGUAGAGGAUGGGCAUGCGGCGCAUUAGCUGGUUGGCGGGGUAACGGCCCACCAAGGCGACGAUGCGUAGGGGUUCUGAGAGGAAGGUCCCCCACACUGGUACUGAGACACGGACCAG
rnacentral:rRNA from 1 species